rnacentral:lncRNA from 15 species
AUGUUUUGUGUUCUGUGUUGCAGGGAGGAUGGAGACCAGGACGGGGAGGUUGGGGAGCUGGAGGGAAGCAACAAUUCUUCAGGCCUGUUGUCUCACAGCUCCAUGGGCACUGGGCAGCUGGAGUCCCCAUUACCUCCACAGUCGAGCCUGGACCUGGACAAACAAGAUGGUGAGCUGGUGAUGGGGCUGUCAGACUUGUGUGGUGACGGAUGUCCGCAGCAGCUGUUUGGCUGUCCCUUCUCUCUCCCCCCCAUGGACGACCUGCAGGAACCUAGCUCAGGCAGUUGUUGUCCCUCAGCUCCAGUUCAGCUCCAGUCCCAGCCCUCCCCCCAGAGCUCCCAGUGGGCCGGCGGGAGCCCUCCGUCCUGCCAUGACGACAAUCGCCUCCAAGGCUCCUGCUUCUACCAGCUACACAUGCUUGGUGGACCUUUCGUUUCUGAGGGCCCUGACGGUGGUACAGCAGGCGGCGGGACUGGCUCCCCCCAUGGGCUGCAGGUGGAAUUUAGUCUGUCUCCAUCUGCCUCACCUCCCUCAUCUGCUGUCCUCCCGUCACACUUCCAGACUUUUGGCAGCCUGCUACACCCCUCUCCCGUCCAGCAUCCCCGCUCCCUCACACAGUAAGGGGGGGGGGGACUGAGUGGUACUCUUCAUGGUUUGCCCUGUGUCAAGAUCUUUGAUCGGUGUUGGUAUUUACACAGGUCUCGAAGAAACCAGGACAAAAAGUGCAUUUACUUAACUUUGUGAAAACGUAUGGACCUACUACCUGUGUUUGGGCGAUUACUCGUCUGUCUGAACCCUCUUUUUAAACUGAGACACUUGAACCCUCUGUCCAUUGUGGAAUGAAGAGUGUUAAUCACUACUUUCAGGUGUUGAUUAUGUGUUUUAUUAACAGUUUCUUACCACAAGCUGCUCACUGAUUGGCUAUAAUUAAUACAUACUUGUCAAAGCACAGUGCAGUUGAUGAGAGCUGCUGUGACCUAGCAAACAAACCAGAUGCGUGUGGCUAAAACAAAUCAGUGACUGCCAAUGUUAACCACUGUUGCUUUGUUUUUUAUUUAUCAGUUUGACUGAAGCUCAGAUUUCUCCCGCCUUUUUCCAGGAAGAGCCAAUUGUGUGUUUCUUUACGUGUCUUUACAUAUUGCUCAACACUCGCUGCUGCAGCCACAGUGACACGGUUGCUAGAAGUCUGACCACAGAGUAAAAUCUGUCCCUUCCAACAAUAUAGAAUACAUUUAAACAUUAAGUCUGUGAUUGGCUCUCCCUUUUCAGUUCCUUUCAUGUUUUUCUCUAUUUCCUGCCUCCUCCACUCCUCCAGAAUUUUGUUUAUAUGUGAAGAGUUGAAACUAAAUAAGAUUUUCUAAGGUUGAGAUUCGCACAUGAUCGAAGGAAAAGCAGCGUAAUAUUUUUGCAAGUUUUAUUCUCAGUUGUGCUUUUGUGGAAGAUUUCAUCCUUGUUCUUUAUUUUGAAGAUUCACAUAGAGAUUUAUAAAGGUGCAUCGCUUAGUCAUCAUUUCUGAUCACCUUUUUAAUGUUUAAUAUUUGGUACCAUCAAGAGCCUGUUUGACAGGCAGAAUAGGCAUAAAAUAAAAUAUGUAAAUGUAAAAUGUACAUGUGAACAUAAGUAAGUCACUGAAUACAAACACAGUUUCUCAGGUUUUGCACCUUUGAUGAUCUCAGAGACCGUUAAUCAGUGAGAGUCAGUCAACAUUACUCUAAACAGGUGUCAUACAUACAGAUCAGAUAAAAGAGGGAGUGUUAUUAGAAGUUUUUUGGAUUAAGCUGCAGCUCAUUGGUGUAAGAGUGGAAAAAACAUAUGAAGUGACUAAUAUCGAGGUCUAAAGAUCAUCCUAACAUGGAAUUUAACAGUUCUGGCACCUUCUCCUUGCUCUUUACAUCCGCGUAACGUCCAAUCAGUGAACAUGUAUGAACAAAGGUACAACUGUGAUAUUUUUAGUGUCAGAGUGCGAUUGAUCCAAACUGAGUUGUGGAUUAAACAAAUCUCUCUUUUUUUCCUCUGAAAUGUUUCCUUCACUGACCUCUGCCAGACAUAAUGAAAUAUACUGAAAAAUGUCACAUAUGUAUAGCCAUUUACAUUUUUAAUAAUAAUAUAUUUAUAGUGCAAAUUGCUUAUUAACAACUGCACAACAGAUUCUCAACCUUUUCUGACCAGUUUCCCAAAGUCCUCAUGGCCCUGUUAAUCAGAGAUGUAAAACUUGUUGAAUUUUGAGAAUAACAAACUUGGUGUAUGUUUAUUAUCUCAUGUCUUUUCUGAAGCACAGAGGGAGCUCCACAUUAAUUAGUACAGAUAAAAUUCUAUUGUUUACAUCUACAGUUUCAUAUUUGAAAACAAUCUGCCAGUUCAAGGUUGAGAAAAUACAGAAAGUUACAGUAAAAAUGAUUUGAUUAUUUUUAACAUUAUGUAACACAAAAUAAAUGGAUGAGCUUUAAGAUGCAUCUUAAAAGGAACAAUUUAUUACAUUACAUUACAAUUUUAGUCAUUUCAUUAAUUCAUGUAUUGAUUUGUGUAUGCAUUCGUACAUAUGUGGUAUUUUCUUGUGAAUGUCGGUGUAUUUUGGUCACGCUGUCUGAAGAAGUAAAGGAAAAGUUACAAGGAAGGAGAGGAACCCAAUGUCCUUCCUUCCAUCUGUCUUUCUGUUUAUUCCUUGUUGUUGUUCGUAAAUGUGGGAGCUCUUCCUGUUAAAAGCCAAGCCGGUUUCCGAUCAAUGUUUGUUUUGUCUUUGUUUACAUGAGGGUGGUUCAGGAUGAGACCAUGAAGGCAGGAAAAAGGCGCAGAGUCACUGCCUUUGGUUAAUUCUUUAUUUUCACUUUUAUUUCUAGCAAUUUAUAUAUUGUACUGCUUCUGUUAUGUUUGUUUAUAAUUAUUAUAUUUUGGAAAAAAAAAAAAAAGAUUAAAAUGAACAUCGGUGAAAUAUUAAAAUGUGUUGUAUUUGAAUUCAUUAUUUUGAAAGCUGAUACAGCACCUGCACUUGUUUGUUUUACAAUUUUGAUGUACUUGGGUAUUUCUGUUUCUAGUUAUGUCAUACUCCACUACAUUUCAGGGGCAUACAGUAUAUUAUACUUUUUACUCCAGUUUUAUUCAACUUUUCAGAUGGUUAAAACUAAAUAAAACAGAUGAUAAAUGAUGAUAUAUUGUUAGAGAUUAAGCUACCCGGCAGUAUAUAAAGUAUCAGAUUAACCCCACCUUUACCAACUGCACCAAUAAAUCACAAUCCAAUAAUAUAAGCUUUUACUUCUGAUUCUUUAGAUUUAUUUUAAUAUCAGUUCUUAUGUACUUUAAUUUAAGUAAGAUUUAACAUGUAGGUAUUUUACACUGUAAUAUUACAACCUUUACUUAAGUAAAACAUCUGGAUCCACCAUUGGACAUACCUACUUGCAGCAAGGAAAGUUGGGAAUGUUAAGUAAGAGCUGAAAAUGGGAACUGAAUGCAUGAAUAUUUUUUCACUCUCUAAUGAAACUUCUCUCAACACGUCAAAACAGCGUACAACAAUCAAUUAUUUGCAUUCAGAGCUACUUAUCUCACAUACCUAGCUCUGGCUGGCUUUUGUCAUUAUCGGGACUCCAUACACAAACUAUUUCUGUAGCAUCAAAGCUUUAUUUCACUUUGUUUGUAUUUUGUAUUUGUACAUAUAUAUAUAUAUUUCUGUAAGUCACAUCUGAAUUGUAACCCCCCUUUUUGCAAUAAAGAUGACUUUGAAAUUAAAAAAAUAAUAAUAAUAAUUACUGUAGCGUCAAAAUGUUCAUCU